GUAUCUUCCUCCAUCUCUAUCUCUUUCUCAUCAUUUCACCCUAAGCUCAGGGGUAAUAACUCAAAGAGAUAAUGGGGUAAGCAAUAGCCCAGGUUACAUAUACAAGGAAGUGGAAAUGCCAUUUAAUAAAAUGAAGUCAGGAAGAAUAGCUGGAGAAGAUCAAAUACACCUGGAAGAAAUCUAUGCUGAGGGUGAUACAAUUUUGAAACCACCGAGGGAUCAGUUUUCAAGAUAUCUCAAAGGGGAGAGGACACCAAAUGGCUGAAAUCCAGAAAGGGAAAUCCAGACGCCAUAAAUAACCACCGAGCCAUAAGCCUACUUAACCAUCACCAUAAAAUCCUUUGGAGAAGAGAACAUGUAUUGCUGAAAAGUCUCUUGCAGACUCUCUCAGGCAGUGUCACAGGUUCCUGUCUUAAUGGAGGAAGAGUGGUGCUGAUCAGUCAUUUCAGCCAUGUCCAACUCUUCAUGACCCCAUUUGGGGUUGAAGAUGCUAGAGUGGUUUGUCAUUUCCUUCUCCAGCUCAUUUUUACAGGUAGUACAGUGAGAAAAUGAAAACAGCGGCACAUCCUUCGAAAGCGAAUCUAGAAUGCUUUGUGGACACAGAAUUUGAGGGUUAGAAGGAACCUGAGAAGUCAUCUAGCCCAACUCACAUACAAGCGGCCUUCCCACUAUAACAUAUUUAGAUGAUGAGUGGCCACUCAGACCACUUGAAGGUCUCCUAGAAAGGGGAACCCACCACCUUUUGAACCUGGUCACUCUACUUUUGGACAGCACUAAUUAUUAGGAUGUUUUUCCUGAUAUCUAGCCAAAUUUAAGUCUAGAUCUAGCCUCUUGGCAACUUGUACCCUUUGCUUCUGGGACCCAAAGAACAGGCAAGUCCGUCUUUCACAUAACAGCUUUUCAAACCUUUGGCUAUGAUGGCUGCCAAGUCUUCUUUUCUCCAGGCUAAACUUCUCCAGUUUGUCAAUAUCCUUCUUAAACUACGGUGCCUAAAAGUGAACACAAUACUCCAAGUGAGUUCUUAUGUGGGCAGAGUACACUGGGACUAUUCCCACCCUUUCCCUGGAAGCUCUGACUCUCUUAAUGUAGCCCAAGAUCUCAUUCACAUUUUUGCCUGCCACAGCAUAUGCUGACUCAUACUGAGCUUGCAGCCCGCUAAAACCCCUGUAUCCUUUACCCAAGUCAUUGAUAAACAUAUUGGACAGCACAGGAUCAAGCUAAUACUGAAAGCUAUGGAGAAAUUGCUGAUAUGCAGGAGAGGACAGAGUUUCCACGCCAAUAGUCAUUCAUGCUGAUGAUGCAGCAUGGGGCAUUGGAAAAUAUGCUGGAUUUGGAGUUGGAGGCCCUGGGUUUAAAUACUAGCUCCACCAAUUACCUGUGUGACUUUGGGAUAGUCACUUCCUCCCUUUCAGCCUCAUUUUCCUCAUUGGUAAAAUGAGGGAGUUGACUUAGAUCAUCUCUAGGGUACCAUCCAGAUCUAAAUCUAUGACAGUAUGGUUGCCCCUUCUCCUGCCUUUCCCAUUCCCUUCUCUUUCUCUUUUAUCUCUGAGCUCUUAGCUCUAUCUGUAGAUACUAUGAAAUUAUAGGCACAACAAAAGGAGAGGAGGAAGAGGAGAAAGAGGAG